rnacentral:rRNA from 1 species
UACGAAGGGGGCUAGCGUUGCUCGGAAUUACUGGGCGUAAAGGGCGCGUAGGCGGCACUGUUAGUCAGGCGUGAAAGUCCUGGGCUCAACCUGGGAACUGCGCUUGAUACGGCAGAGCUAGAGGAUGGAAGAGGGUCGCGGAAUUCCCAGUGUAGAGGUGAAAUUCGUAGAUAUUGGGAAGAACACCGGUGGCGAAGGCGGCGACCUGGCCCAUUACUGACGCUGAGGCGCGACA